rnacentral:rRNA from 1 species
UACGUAGGGCGCAAGCGUUUAUCCGGAAUUAUUGGGCGUAAAGAGCUCGUAGGCGGUCUGUCGCGUCUGCUGUGAAAAACUCGGGGCUUAACCCCGGGCCUGCAGUGGGUACGGGCAGACUAGAGUGUGGUAGGGGAGACUGGAAUCCUGGUGUAGCGGUGGAAUGCGCAGAUAUCAGGAGGAACACCGAUGGCGAAGGCAGGUCUCUGGGCCACUACUGACGCUGAGAAGCGAAAGCAUGGGGAGCGAACAGG